rnacentral:rRNA from 1 species
GAUGAACGCUGGCGGCGUGCCUAACACAUGCAAGUCGAGCGGCAGCGAGGGGUGCUUGCACCCUGUCGGCGAGCGGCGGACGGCUGAGUAACGCGUGGGAACGUGCCCCAAAGUGAGGAAUAACUGCCCGAAAGGGUAGCUAAUACCGCAUAGUAUCUUCGGAUCAAAGGAUUUAUCCGCUUUGGGAGCGGCUCGCGUCGGAUUAGGUAGUUGGUGAGGUAAUGGCUCACCAAGCCGACGAUCCGUAGCUGGUCUGAGAGGAUGACCAGCCAGACUGGAACUGAGACACGGUCCAGACUCCUACGGGAGGCAGCAGUGAGGAAUCUUCCACAAUGGGCGAAAGCCUGAUGGAGCAACGCCGCGUGCAGGACGAAGGCCUUAGGGUUGUAAACUGCUUUUAUAAGUGAGGAAUAUGACGGUAACUGAUGAAUAAGGAUCGGCUAACUACGUG